rnacentral:rRNA from 1 species
AUUGAACGCUGGCGGCAGGCCUAACACAUGCAAGUCGAACGGUAACAGGAAGAAUCUUUCUUCUUUGCUGACGAGUGGCGGACGGGUGAGUAAUGUCUGGCAAACUGUCUGAUGGAGGGGGAUAACUACUGGAAACGGUAGCUAAUACCGCAUAACGUCGCAAGACCAAAAAGGGUGGCCUUCGGGCCUCUUGCCAUCGUAUGUGCCCAGAUGGGAUUAGCUAGGAGGUGGGGUAACGGUUCACCUAGGCGACGAUCCCUAGCUGGUCUGAGAGGAUGACCAGCCACACUGGAACUGAGACACGGUCCAGACUCCUACGGGAGGCAGCAGUGGGGAAUAUUGGACAAUGGGCGCAAGCAUGAUGCAGCCAUGCCGCGUGUAUGAAGAAGGCCUUCGGGUUGUAAAGUACUUUCAGCGGGGAGGAAGGGAGUAAAGUUAAUACCUUGGCUCAUUGACGUUACCCGCAGAAGAAGCACCGGCUAACUCCGUG